UUCCAAAAAAUUGUUAAGAUGCAACAGAAACACCAAUUGAAAGUCCAAAUCAUGUUGCAUAAUUAAAAUUAGCAAUUCUAGGAAAUUCUCAUCAACUUACUUAAAUGAAAAUUAAUCGAAUAUUAUCUUGAUUCAAUCAUAUACCUACUCUAUGCAUCACGACAUCUGAAGUGUCAUUACACAUGACAUACAAAUCAACUACAAUUAUCCAAAGCUACAAUUAUACAAAACCUCAAACGAACAAUUACUCUAAAUCAACUACAACUGUUUCACAAAUUCAAUUAUACUCUGUGUAGCUAACAAAGUUUAUAGAUUAACAACUAACCAAUUCCCAUUCAAUGUUCAGUUUAGUACAAAUCAGUCAAUCCAAUUAACAGCCUAGGAAAUAUGCAUCAAAAGAAAAUGAAUUGAAUCUAAUACAAAAGCAUUCAUUACAGUUGAACAAACUUGUAUGAGGAGACCGAUGAACAUUUUAUUUCAUUUAUCAACUUCAAAGCUACAUUGAGCUGAAUUCGAAUAUGCACCUGGAGUAUGAAAUAGAUACAGGAAUGGAAGUCAGUUGAAGCAGGGAAACAAGUAGCAACAAUUUGAAUUCAAAUGGCCCAAAAAUAUAACAAAUCUUCAACCCAAAAAUAAGUAUAGAUCCAGAAAUAUUUUGAAAUCAAGAAACAACACUCAAAUAAACCCAGAAUCACUUGUAAACCAAUCAGUGAAUCCCGAACAAACCAGGAGACAAAAUGCUGAACCAAAUAAAAUACCACUCAGUAACUAGAAAUCAAUGGAACAGUAUAUUCUUUCGAUUUUCUGAAGGUUUCUAUUGUUUUUAGAAAAAGAAACCGACUCAAAGCUCUCUAACACUGAUGAUAAAAACCGUUCUAAAGAAGUUCCGAAAAACAAUGAUUUCCUUUAAUUUUUGAACCUCUCAAGACAUUUUCUAAAACUGAUAACUGAAAAGAAAACUCUCAAGCACAAUCAUUGAAAAACUCUCAAUUUCUCUUAACCGAUUCUUCUCAAAUGACCUCUAUUUAUACCAUAGGCACUCGCCUUUUUCAGCUCAUGUUCUUUCACUUUUACCUAUUAUCGUUACUCUUUUACUCCUUUUACUUUCCAACUACUAUAUUCCCUCUCCUAUGUAUAUUCUUUUAGCUUUUAUCAUUACCUAUACUAUUCCUAAUUUCAAUUAAGCAAACACUCUCAUUACUUAGUGGUCCAAACACCCUAGGAUCCUACCGUCACUGCCCUGAUUCAAAAUAGUAAGUAUAACCCCUUUAAAUUACAACUAACACUGAUUAUUAACUAUUUAAACAACUACACAGCUAUAACCAAUCCUUAAGUCACAACGGUUCAAAGAAGAAUUGAAGCAGGAAAGAGGUUCAUAUGAAAAUAUGCAGAACAUGGGUGACAUACAAAUGAAUUAAGAAGUUUGGUUUAAGGAGGAAAACUUAAUGCACCAACAAACUCAUCACAAUCACAAAAAUCAGAACAAAAAGAAAAAGAUGAUUAAACAUAC
rnacentral:lncRNA from 1 species